rnacentral:rRNA from 1 species
UACGUAGGGUGCGAGCGUUGUCCGGAAUUAUUGGGCGUAAAGAGCUCGUAGGCGGUUUGUCACGUCUGCUGUGAAAUCCCGAGGCUCAACCUCGGGCCUGCAGUGGGUACGGGCAGACUAGAGUGCGGUAGGGGAGACUGGAAUUCCUGGUGUAGCGGUGAAAUGCGCAGAUAUCAGGAGGAACACCGGUGGCGAAGGCGGGUCUCUGGGCCGUAACUGACGCUGAGGAGCGAAAGCAUGGGGAGCGAACAGG